GACGAACGCUGGCGGCGUGCUUAACACAUGCAAGUUGAACGGAAAGGCCCUGCUUUUGUGGGGUGCUCGAGUGGCGAAAGGGUGAGUAACACGUGAGUAACCUGCCCUUGACUUUGGGAUAACUUCAGGAAACUGGGGCAAAUACCGGAUAGGAGCUCCUGCUGCAUGGUGGGGGUUGGAAAGUUGCGGCGGUUGGGGACGGACUCGCGGCUUAUCAGCUUGUUGGUGGGGUAGUGGCUUACCAAGGCUUUGACGGGUAGCCGGACUGAGAGGGUGACCGGCCACAUUGGGACUGAGAUACGGCCAAGACUCCUACGGGAGGCAGCAGUGAGGAAUAGUGCACAAUGGGCGGAAGCCUUAAGCAAGAUCGCCGCGUGCGGGAUGACGGCCGUCAGGUUAUAAACCGCGUUCGCCUGUGACGAAGCGUGAGUGACGGUAAUGGGUAAAGAAGAACCGGCUAACUACGUG
rnacentral:rRNA from 1 species